UACGGGGGGGCAAGCGUUGUUCGGAAUUACUGGCGUAAAGGCGCGUAGGCGGCCUUCUAAGUCAGACGUGAAAUCCCUCGGCUCAACCGAGGAACUGCGUCUGAUACUGGAAGGCUUGAAUCCGGAGAGGGAUGUGGAAUCCAGGUGUAGCGGUGAAAUGCGUAGAUAUCGUGGAGGAACACCGGUGGCGAAGGCGGCAUCCUGGACCGGUAUUGACGCUGAGGCGCGAAAGCUA
rnacentral:rRNA from 1 species